AUUGAACGCUGGCGGCAUGCCUUACACAUGCAAGUCGAACGGCAGCACGGGAGCAAUCCUGGUGGCGAGUGGCGAACGGGUGAGUAAAGUAUCGGAACGUGCCCAGUCGUGGGGGAUAACGUAGCGAAAGUUACGCUAAUACCGCAUACGAUCUAUGGAUGAAAGCGGGGGAUCGCAAGACCUCGCGCGAUUGGAGCGGCCGAUAUCAGAUUAGGUAGUUGGUGGGGUAAAGGCUCACCAAGCCGGCGAUCGGUAGCUGGUCUGAGAGGACGACCAGCCACACUGGGACUGAGACACGGCCCAGACUCCUCCGGGAGGCAGCAGUGGGGAAGUUUGGACAAGGGGCUAAAGCCUGAUCCAGCCAUGCCGCGUGCAGGAUGAAGGCCUUCGGGUUGUAAACUGCUUUUGUACGGAACGAAAAGGUUUGGGCUAAUAAGCUGAGCUCAUGACGGUACCGUAAGAAUAAGCACCGGCUAACUACGUGCCAGCAGCCGCCGUAA
rnacentral:rRNA from 1 species